UGGGGGAUAUUGCACAAUGGAGGAAACUCUGAUGCAGCAACGCCGCGUGAGGGAAGAAGGUCUUCGGAUUGUAAACCUUUGUCCUCGGUGACGAUAAUGACGGUAGCCGAGGAGGAAGCUCCGGCUAACUACGUGCCAGCAGCCGCGGUAAUACGUAGGGAGCAAGCGUUGUCCGGAUUUACUGGGUGUAAAGGGUGCGUAGGCGGCAAUGCAAGUCAGAUGUGAAAACUAUGGGCUUAACUCAUAGAUUGCAUUUGAAACUGUGUUGCUUGAGUGAAGUAGAGGCAGGCGGAAUUCCCGGUGUAGCGGUGAAAUGCGUGGAGAUCGGGAGGAACACCAGUGGCGAAGGCGGCCUGCUGGGCUUUAACUGACGCUGAGGCACGAAAGCAUGGGUAGCAAACA
rnacentral:rRNA from 1 species